GGAUGGAAGCACCUGUCAAUUCCCCUUCUCCACCCGCGUUCAGUUACUAAAUACGGAUUCACCCCGUAAUAAGUCAACCGCAGACAGGGUCCUUCCACAACCACAUACUUAUGCCAGUAAAAGCUACAGCUUUUCUCCUCCGAUCCAAGAAGCCUGGACUGCAGUCACCAUCUCAACACACCAACCAAGAGAAAGGCGGAUGGCUCAAUUCAAUAUGGAAAAUUGCACAAUAAAAGUUCCAGGACAUGAAGGCUGCAUACUGUGAACGUCAACCUUCAGGGCACCGUCCUGCGCAGAAGACUUU